rnacentral:rRNA from 1 species
UGUCGUAACAAGGUUUCCGUAGGUGAACCUGCGGAAGGAUCAUUACCACACGUUAGAUCCAUACGAUCUUUAUACCUGAUCUUUCAUUGUUGGAGGAUCAGAUUUUAUUAUGUGAAUGUAUCUUUUUUACUACAUCAUAAACUACAACAAUUUUUUUUAAAAAAAUUUUCUUAUUUAUAGAGAAAACCCAAAAUAUCUUACAACUUACAGCGACGGAUAUCUUGGCUCUCGCAACGAUGAAGAACGCAGCGAAAUGCGAUACGUAAUGUAAAUUGCAGUCUUAGUGAAUCAUCAAAAUUUUGAACGCAAGUUGCACUUCCGGGUUUUCCUGGAAGUAUGCUUGUUUCAGUGUCCGUAAACCUCACUCACAUCAUUGUAUGUGGAUUAUGACUGUUUUCUCCUUUGUUAAUACAGAGGAAAUCAGUUGAAAUGUUAGGGUGUUGAAUGUGAUAUUUACGAUUCAAACGCUUUUUUAGAUCAACAUAACUAGUUUGUCUUUAUUGACGAAAUAUAACCUUGUUGAAUCCAAUCUAAAAUCACAAUUGAAUCCAUCACAAAAUCAACCCCAAAACACAAAAACACAUAAACUCGGAUCUGAAAUCAAGCAAGAAGACCCGCUGAAUUUAAGCAUAUAACUAAGCGGAGGAAAAGAAACUAACAAGGAUUCCCUCAGUAACGGCGAGUGAAGCGGGAAAAGCUCAAUCAUGAAUCCUUCGGGAAUUGUAGUCUAGAGAAGCGAUUGUCCGACUUGACCGAGGCAUAAGUCCGUUGGAACACGGCGACUUAGAGGGUGAGAUCCCCGUCCUGCCUUGUGUAUUCGAGUCGUUCGACACGUUUUCGUAGAGUCGGGUUGCUUGGGAAUGCAGCUCUAAAUGGGAGGUAAAUUCCUUCUAAAGCUAAAUAAUGGCGAGAGACCGAUAGCGAACAAGUACCGUGAGGGAAAGAUGAAAAGAACUUUGAAAAGAGAGUUAAAAGUACUUGAAAUUGCUGUGAGGGAACCGAUGGAAACUAGUGGUAGAUUCAUGUUCCUCGGAACUGAAUUCUAGGUCAACAUGGAUUGGAGACGCGGGAAAGGAUUAAUACGCUGUUAGUAUUAUUCGUGUCGUGUCUUUAAUCGAGGAAUAACGUCUGCUUUUCGUGUCCAAUGUUUUAGUUGUUUAGAUUCGAUGGACAGCACGCUGUGCUUCGUGUCGACGCGCUACGACAGAAAACUCGACGAGACGUCUGGAUGUUGACGAAAUGGUUUUCAUUGACCCGUCUUGAAACACGGACCAAGGAGUCUAACAUAUGUGCGAGUAUUCGGGUAUUAAACCCAGGGUGCGCAAUGAAAGUGAAAGGUGAGAACGUAAGGGCACCACCGACCGACCAUGAUCCUCUGGUGAAAGGUUUGAGUUUGAGCAUAGAUGUUGGGACCCGAAAGAUGGUGAACUAUGCGUGA